CCAAAUCAGAUGUGAGCUAGAGGAAUAUGUGCAGAGUAUCAGUUGUUGGCUCAGUGUAGUGGAUUAAGCUACAGUUUGUGCUCUCACAUUCGCUCUGUAUACUACUGUAAGGAGACUGCUGCAGAGGCAUUUCUCAGAGAAGAUACUCUGAGGGAUAUGAUGGCAAUCAAAUUUUUUGGAGAGGCAAAGGCAGCUAAUUGUGUGAAGAGGCAAAAGGCUGCUUGUGCAGUGCAUGUUCCUCUUUGUGUGCCUGUGGACUUUGGUGGGUCUCCAUCACAUAUAUGCUUGUCAAUCCACGAGCCUGACAUUCAUAAUUUUUGGCGACUUGGGAGGAUAAUCGUCACCUAUAACACCCAAAGGAACACCUGGCAUUGUCCCUGCACAAAGCCACAGACAUUUUGUCCACACAUACACAUAUCAAUGUGGCAUUUUUUCCAAACCCAAAGAGACCCCUUCAAGUCAGAGGUGCCCACAACACCAAUCUCAGAUCCUUGUAGUCUUCUGGACACCACUGGUAUGAAGAGAAGUGUGCAGUACAUUUUCAAAGAGAAAAAAAUCCAGAAGUGCUACCAAAAGAAGUUACAACAUCGAGAAUGAAGAUGGAAUACCCAAAGAAAUUCUUUCCUCUUGAGACAACAUGCCAGUUAUGCACUGGACAUCCUGCACUUGCAGAGGCUGUACUAAUUACAAAGAAAGCUAAGAUUGUCAGCAUGAUGGGCUUGAUAGACCACAUUUCUACAUACCAUAGGAUAUGUCCACAGUGCAACAUGGUGUAUAGGUACCAGGAGUGGAAAGAUGGACUUCAUAGCUUUGAUAACCACAUUUUUCUCUUCCUUGAACUUUGUGUGGUUCUCAGAGAAAAUGUUGCCAUGAGUAUUAAUCUUUUGUAAUCUUUAAGAUUACUUAACUAUGGGCUAUAUGUACAUGAACAUUACAUUUUGAUUUUAUUUGUUUUUGUUAUUUUGAAGUUUCCAUUGUUAAGCAACAAGAACAUGAUCUGUCACUGUCUAUUCUCAGGCUUAUUUGUUUUUGCUUCACACUUUAGAACCAUGUGUCUGUAUCAAGAGUUGUGGAUUCAUUGGAGGAGUUAAGAGGAGAGAAGUUCCCAUCCAGGGAUGUCAUAUUUCAUGCCUAUUGCCACUUUGAGGCUUUGACUGACACAGAGUACACUUACACUUGUGUAAAUUGUGGAUUUUACCCACCUGUGGUAGUCAUGGAGCUACACAGGAAAGGGGUUUUCAAACUGGCAAUCAGUGACCUCAAUGCACCCCCUGAUGACUUCAACGGUGAACAUGACAUUGAGACUUUUUGGAAUUCUGUUCAUCUUGUGAUAAUAAGUCGUGGCUUUUUUCAAAG